rfam:Ictidomys tridecemlineatus contig057184, whole genome shotgun sequence.
GGGGUUGUGGCUCAGCGGUAGAGCGCUCACCUCGCAGGUGUGAAACCCUGGGUUCGAUCCUCAGCACCA